rnacentral:rRNA from 1 species
AUGACACAAAGUAGCACAUCAUUUAAUAUGAUACGGUAUCAUGAUAUGGAUACUCAAGCAUCUCUUUCUUUAUUUAAUUCUAUGUCACCUCAUCAAACUUGCUUAGUUGGCAUGCAUGAUACUAUCUCUUUAUUUAAUUCUAUGCCACCUCAUCAAACUUGCUUAGUUGGCAUGCAUGAUGCUAUCUAUGAUACUCCCAUUACGGGCAGCCUUACCACCACACGAGUUACUCCGGAAGUUCAAACUCCAGGCCUCGUCCCAUCCAUGCCUCCUCUAGCCUUCCUCCUCCUUCUACUUGGCCAAAUCCUUCUCUGCUACGGCCAUCCAUGCAGCAUUUUUUUUUGCAUGGGUGGUCAGGUCGGCCGGUGUUUUUUUGACAGAAAAACUGCAAGGGAGGCCCCUAUAUUAUUUUGA